AGCGAACGCUGGCGGCAGGCCUAACACAUGCAAGUCGAACGAAGUCUUCGGACUUAGUGGCGGACGGGUGAGUAACACGUGGGAACGUGCCCUUUGGUACGGAAUAACUCAGGGAAACUUGGGCUAAUACCGUAUGUGCCCUUCGGGGGAAAGAUUUAUCGCCAUUGGAGCGGCCCGCGUCUGAUUAGCUAGUUGGUGAGGUGAAGGCUCACCAAGGCGACGAUCAGUAGCUGGUCUGAGAGGAUGAUCAGCCACAUUGGGACUGGGACACGGCCCAAACUCCUACGGGAGGCAGCAGUGGGGAAUCUUGCGCAAUGGGCGAAAGCCUGACGCAGCCAUGCCGCGUGAAUGAUGAAGGUCUUAGGAUUGUAAAAUUCUUUCACCGGGGACGAUAAUGACGGUACCCGGACAAGAAGCCCCGGCUAACUUCGUGCCAGCCGCCGCCGUAACAC
rnacentral:rRNA from 1 species